AAGAAGAUAUGUUUGUGGAUGUAUCUGAGCCACUAGUGAGAUACCACUCUGAUUAAACUAGAAUUCUAAUAUUGAUUGCCAUAAGCUGGCCAAUAGACAGUUUCAGGUGGGCAGUUUGACUGGGGCGGUCGCCUCCUAAAAGGUAACGGAGGCGUGCAAAGGUUUCCUCAGGCUGGUCGGAAAUCAGUCGUAGAGUAUAAAGGCAUAAGGAAGCUUGACUGCGAGACCUACAAGUCGAGCAGAGACGAAAGUCGGCCUUAGUGAUCCGACAGUACUG
rnacentral:rRNA from 1 species